ACGUAGGAGGCGAACGUUAUCCGGAUUUACUGGGCGUAAAGCGCGUGUAGGUGGUUCUGUAAGUAGGGCGUGAAAGCUCCUGGCUCAACUGGGAGAGGCCGUUCUAAACUACAGAACUAGAGGGUGGUAGAGGGAGGUGAAAUUGCAGGUGUAGCGGCGGAAUUCGCAGAUAUCUGGAGGAACACCAGUGUCUAAGGCGGCCUCCUGGACCAUUCCUGACACUCAGACGCGAAAGCUAGUGUAGCAAAAGG
rnacentral:rRNA from 1 species